GACGAACGCUGGCGGCGUGCUUAACACAUGCAAGUCGAACGAAGUGGCGAACGGGUGAGUAAUACGUGGGUAACCUGCCCUCCUUUUUGGGAUAAGCCUUGGAAACGGGGUCUAAUACCGAAUAAAGGGGGAGGGGCUCGCGGCCUAUCAGCUUGUUGGGGGGGUGAUGGUCUACCAAGGCGGUGACGGGUAGCCGGCCUGAGAGGUUUAACUGCCACAUUGGGACGGAGAAGCCGCCCAGACUCCUACGGGGGGCAGCAGUGGGGGCUAUUGCAGAAUGGGCGAAAGCCUGAUGCAGCGACUCCGCGUAGGGGAUGAAGGCUUUCGGGUUGUAAAAGUCUGUCGCUAUGGAACGGGUAGGUGGAGAAGAAGCACCGGCUAACUACGUGCCAGCAGCCGCGGUAAUAC
rnacentral:rRNA from 1 species